CUCUAAUACAAAUUUUUCAGAUUAUAUAUUUUAAGGAAUAUAUACAGUAAAAGUAUUAGUAUUAAAGAAACCUAUUCCUUCCUAAGUAAAAGUAGGUAAAUAAGAAUCAGCAAUUUAUGUAUUAGUAGAAAUAUAUUUUGAAUAUAUGUAAAUUGC
rnacentral:ncRNA from 1 species